GCCGCGAGCCAGCUGGUAGAGCAUCUGCUUGGUAUGCGGAGUGUUGCUGGUUCGAUUCCGGCUCGCGGCG
rnacentral:tRNA from 1 species